CCUACGGGAGGCUGCAGUGAGGAAUAUUGGUCAAUGGACGAGAGUCUGAACCAGCCAAGUAGCGUGAAGGAUGACUGCCCUAUGGGUUGUAAACUUCUUUUAUAAAGGAAUAAAACGAGGCACGUGUGCCUUUUUGCAUGUACUUUAUGAAUAAGGAUCGGCUAACUCCGUGCCAGCAGCCGCGGUAAUACGGAGGAUCCGAGCGUUAUCCGGAUUUAUUGGGUUUAAAGGGAGCGUAGAUGGGUUGUUAAGUCAGUUGUGAAAGGUUGCGGCUCAACCGUAAAAUUGCAAUUGAUACUGGCAGUCUUGAGUACAGUUGAGGUAAGCGGAAUUCGUGGUGUAGCGGUGAAAUGCUUAGAUAUCACGAAGAACCCCGAUUGCGAAGGCAGCUUACUAAACUGUGACUGACAUUGAUGCUCGAAAGUGUGGGUAUCAAACAGGAUUAGAUACCCGUGUAGUC
rnacentral:rRNA from 1 species